AGAGUUUGAUCCUGGCUCAGGAUAACGCUGGCGGCGUGCCUAACACAUGCAAGUCGAACGAUCCCGCAAGGGAGAGUGGCGGAAGGGUGAGUAACACGUGGGAAUCUACCUCUCGCAGGGAACAACCUCUCGAAAGAGAGGCUAAUACCCAAAAGGGUCAGAAAUGAUCAGAGUCGAAAGGCGUGAGGAGAGGAGCCCGCGGCCCAUCAGCUAGUUGGGUGAGGUAAUGGCUUACCAAGGCUACGACGGGUAGGGGAUCUGAGAGGAUGUCCCCCACACUGGAACUGAAACACGGUCCAGACGCCUACGGGUGGCAGCAGUGAGGAAUAUUGGACAAUGGGCGAAAGCCCGAUCCAGCAACGCCGCGUGGAGGAUGAAGGCCUUCGGGUCGUAAACUUCUUUAGAGGGAGACGAGAAAGGACGGUAUCCCUAGAAUAAGCGACGGCAAACUACGUG
rnacentral:rRNA from 1 species